rnacentral:rRNA from 1 species
AAGAUAAGAUAUCCCAUCGUAAGAGUAAGACCCCUUGAAGACUACAAGGUUGAUAGGCUUGGAGUGUAAUCGCGGCAACGCGUUCAGCUGACAAGUACUAAUAGGUCGAGGGCUUAUCCUU